AUUGAACGCUGGCGGCAGGCCUAACACAUGCAAGUCGAACGAGCGGCGGACGGGUGAGUAAUGUCUGGGAAACUGCCUGAUGGAUGGGGAUAACUACUGGAAACGGUAGCUAAUACCGCAUACCAUCGGAUGUGCCCAGAUGGGAUUAGCUAGUAGGUGGGGUAACGGCUCACCUAGGCGACGAUCCCUAGCUGGGCUGAGAGGAUGACCAGCCACACUGGAACUGAGACACGGGCCAGAAUCCUACGGGAGGAAGCAGUGGGGAAUAUUGGACAAUGGGCGCAAGCCUGAUGCAGCCAUGCCGCGUGUAUGAAGAAGGCCUUCGGGUUGUAAAGUACUUUCAGCGGGGAGGCGUUACCCGCAGAAGAAGCACCGGCUAACUCCGUGCCAGCAGCCGCGGUAAUUC
rnacentral:rRNA from 1 species